rnacentral:lncRNA from 1 species
AAUUAACCAGGGAUAGAGAGAGGAGAAAUAUAAGACCUUCUACCAGAACUAGUGAUGAAGAAUUUGUUACAUUUUUCUCAGCCCUGGAUUCACUAAAUUCUGAACCUGCUACAUUUGAUGAAGCUAUUAAAGGCCCAGAUUCUAAACAUUGGAAAGAUGCUAUGAAUGAAGAAAUGGACUCUCUAUUAAAAAAUAAAACCUGAGUUCUGGUUGACAGACCCAAGAACUAAAAGGUUAUUGAUUGCAAGUGGAUAUAUAAAAUCAAACAAGGAGACUCAGAUUCACAAAAUAAAAGAUACAAGGUCAGACUUGAGGCCAAGGGUUUUACUCAAAAGGAGGGGGUAGAUUACAAUGAAAUCUUCUCACUUGUGGCUAAGUACACCUCAAUCAGAAUUCUAUUAGCCUUAACUGCUCAUUUCAACUGGGAGUUAGAUCAACUUGAUGUAAAAAGGCAUUUCUUAAUGGUGAUCUUGAUGAAACCUUAUACAUGAACCAACCUUUAGGAUAUGAAUUAAAGUCAAAAGUUGAUAAGGUUUGCUUGCUGAAAAAGUCACUUUAUGGGCUCAAACAAGCCCCCAGGCAAUGGUACAUCAAAUUUAAUUCUUAUGUGCAUACCUUGAGUUUUGUUAAAAGCAAUUACGAUUCUUGUUUUUUUUCUAUAAAGGUUCUGGUGGACAUGGAUCCAUUUACCUGUUAUUAUAUGUUGAUGACAUGUUGCUUGCCUGUAACGAUAGAUCUGAAAUUGAUUUCAUUAAGUUAAAGUUGAAAUCUGAAUUUGAAAUGAAAGAUCUAGGUCAAGUAAGAAGGAUUCUUGGAAUGGAAAUAGAAAGAGAUAGGAAUAAUUGCAUGUUAAUGUUGAAACAAGACUCUUAUGUGAAGAAAAUACUUGAAAAGUUUUCCAUGCUUGAGUGUAAACAUGUGUCUUUGCCCAUUGCAAAUCAUUUUAAAUUGUCUAGUGAAAACUCACCUAAGACUGAUGAGGAAUUCUUAAGAAUGGAAAAGAUAUCUUAUGCUAAUGUUGUAGGAUCUAUAAUGUACCUUAUGGUGUGUACAAGACCUGACUUAGCUCAUGGCAUUAGUACUUUAAGUAGGUUUAUGUCCAACCCUGGUGAAACACAUUAGUUAGCCAUGAAAUGGAUGUUAAGGUACUUAAAAGGUACUUCAGGCUUAGGUCUGAUGUUUAAAAGAAGUAAUGAAAGGGUAAACUUAAAAGGUUAUAUUGACUCUGAUUUUGCUGGUGAUUUAGACAAAAGAAGGUCUACAUCUUCAUAUUUUUUCACUUUGUGUGAUGGCUACAUUAGUUGGAAGUUUCAAUUGCAAAAAUUAAUUGCAUUCUCAUCUACUAAAGCUGAAUACAUUGUUGCAUGUGAUGCUGUAAAAGAAAGUGUCUGGCUUAGAGGUUUAUUAAAUGAAAUAGGAUUUGAGAAUAAUUUUGUUAGGAUUUACACUGAUAACCAAAGUGCCAUACAUUUGAGUAAAAAUCCUGUCUAUCAUGACAGAACAAAACAUAGAGAUAUAAAGUUUCACUUUGUGAGAAAUAAAGCAGAAAAAUGUAUGAUUAAUCUGGUGAAAAUUCCUACAGAAUUUAAUCCUGCAGACUUAGGAACUAAGGUAUUACCUUUAAAUAAAUUUUUAAACUGCUUGAAGAUUCUAAACAUUACUUAAGGAAGUAAUAAUUAGAACUUCAAGUGAUUUGUGUUCAAGAGAUUUGAACUAAUAUUUUUUCUUUUUCUGCAGGUAAUUAGAGUAAAUGAUCCAAGAUGUGAUAUAGAGUUCUAGAUCCACUAGUAAAGAUCAAGAAAUAGUUCGGCAAGGUGGAAAUUGUUUUUAUUUUGUGGGCUGCCUCACUAUUUCGUUCUGGCCCAAAUGGUUUAAGCAGGCUUUGGGUCCAUUAUAUUCCGGGUUCUAAAAGCGUGUUUGUGUUAAAGAAUCGUGAAUGCCUCUUUAAGGAAGGAGAUCAGUCGUCCACGUGGCUGUAUCUUGGCCCUUGGUUUGUGAUGUUUGGCUGUUCAGAUACUUAACUUGGUUUUGGCCCUCAUUCUGGUUAACGAGACUCUGUGUGCCCUUUCGCCUACUUUCUCCUUUUCUCUCUGAGUGAAAGAUUAGGGUUUUUCGAUUUUUCUGUAAAUCCAAAAUAUUCUUGGUGUUCUUCUCAAUCUAAUUUUUUAGUGAUGUAGUAUGAUUGUUAUUGUACAGUCUAUUAGUGACUAAGAGGUAUUUUGUUUGUUCUAUGUAAAGAGGCGAAAGAAUAGUACAUUUGCACUAUUCUUGAUUGAUACUUAGUGGAUCUUGAGCUAUAUCACCUUUUGGUGAUGCUCAACGGGUGAUUAGGUCGAAAGCUAAACAUCCGGGCUCUUUUAGGCGAAACAUA